rnacentral:misc_RNA from 1 species
UUCAAAAACCAAGUUUUUAAGCCUCACGGGUAAAGAUCUCGACUGGCUUUUUGCUCUUCUGUUCUCUCACUCAAUAUCGUCUCUUCCUGGGAUUUGUAUACCUUUUUUUUCUUUAUUGGUUUCUCGUUUCCUUUUGCUAUGUUUUAAGGUCAGAAGAGGAAAAUGGGCUUUGCUUUCACAUCUGCGGAUCCUCUGUUUUCAUGAUUUGUUAAUUCUUUUUUCCUAUUAUUUUUUGUUUCUCUGUACUUGUUUCUUCGUUUGGCAAAAUUAUGGGAAGCACUGAGGGAACCAACUAUG